CCCCCUCCCCUCGCCCCGCCUCAGUACCAGGAAGUCCCGCCCCCUUUCCUACCUCAGGCCUUACAGCAGCAAUACCUCAUCCAGCAACAGCUACUGCAGCGCAGACGCACACAAGAGCGAGUCCCACUGAACACUCACCGGUUACGCCCAGGAUAUGAAUAUGCUCCGCCCCUCCACGCCCCUCAGCCAAUCCCACAGCAGCCCAGAUACCUGGCGGAAGGCACUGACUGGGAUCUGAGUGUGGACGCAGGUGUGCCGCAUCAGUAUCCUCUGCAGCAGAUCCCUCAACCCUACCAGCAUUACC